GGGGGGGAGAUGCGAAGACGAGAGAAAGAGAGCGAGGAAAAAUGGGAGGGGCGAGAAAGCUAUUUCUUUCUUGCCCCUUCCAUUUUUCCUCGCUCUCUUUCUCUCCCCUUCGCAUUCCUCCUCUA
rnacentral:miRNA from 1 species